rnacentral:pre_miRNA from 10 species
CAGGACUCUGGCUGGGAUAUCAUCAUAUACUGUAAGUUUGUGAUGAGACACUACAGUAUAGAUGAUGUACUAGUCUGGGUACCCC